CGGAGGACCUCUCUGCCGUCUUCUCCCCGCGUCCCCCGCCGCCGUCCCCGCCGGUUCUCCCGCCGGUUCUCCCGCGCCUCGGCCCGCCUCCCAUGGCCUGUCGGCGGCCCGCGUCCCGGCCCGCGGCUCAGUAGUUGCGCUCCGGAUGCGCGCUCUCUCCGGCGGACCGCUACAGCGCGAAGAUGGCGUCGGAGGGAGCCAGCGGAGAGCAGCCUCCCCCGGUACAGACCCUGGCCACCGCCGUGCUGGGCAGCCUGGACACGAAAUGUGAGUUCAACAUGGAUAAUCUGAGCAAGCCGGAGCUGCUCACCCUGCUGAGUAUCAUGGAAGGAGAGCUGGAGGCCCGAGACCUGGUUAUCGAGGCACUGAGGGUGACAGGAAGGAGG